rnacentral:lncRNA from 1 species
AGGGCCUCAAGGAGUUCCGAGCUCCCAGAAGAAGGCCGUUCCUCGGGCGAGGUGCGUAUAAGAUUUCUGAUCCUUCCGUUGAUUUUUUUUGUUUUUCUCUUUCUUCUGAUUUGUGUUGCUUCUUCAGCCGGAAGCAAAAAGCGGCACCGGUGGCGCUGGCCCCCCUGAAGGCCGUGAAGAGGGGGGCACAGUCGACUCCUGGGUCGGCGAGGCCCAAGUCGCCACCUCCCCUGAGCCGCGAGAAGGAGAAGCGACAUUGGGAGGGAGAGGGGCAAGAGGCGG